GAAAACAGAUUUAAUGUCAUUUUCAAUCACCUUGUUGAAAAUAUAAGACAAGAAGCAAAACUGACCUCUGAUCAGUGUCUGGGGCAUACUCAGCAGGA